rnacentral:rRNA from 1 species
AUUGAACGCUGGCGGCAGGCCUAACACAUGCAAGUCGAGCGGCAGCGGGACCUUCGGGUUGCCGGCGAGCGGCGGACGGGUGAGUAAUGCCUAGGAAUCUGCCUGUUAGUGGGGGAUAACGCGGGGAAACUCGCGCUAAUACCGCAUACGUCCUACGGGAGAAAGCGGGGGCUCUUCGGACCUCGCGCUAACAGAUGAGCCUAGGUCGGAUUAGCUAGUUGGUGGGGUAAUGGCUCACCAAGGCGACGAUCCGUAACUGGUCUGAGAGGAUGCUCAGUCACACUGGAACUGAGACACGGUCCAGACUCGUACGGGAGGCAGCAGUGGGGAAUAUUGGACAAUGGGCGAAAGCCUGAUCCAGCCAUGCCGCGUGUGUGAAGAAGGUCUUCGGAUUGUAAAGCACUUUAAGUCGGGAGGAAGGGCUGUAGGCUAAUACCUUGCAGUUUUGACGUUACCGACAGAAUAAGCACCGGCUAACUUCGUGCCAGCCGCCGCCGUAA